rfam:Cyphomyrmex costatus contig16520, whole genome shotgun sequence.
CAAUCGGCCCUUUUCAGGGCCAAAAAUUGUCUUACGUUGAGAUGUCU